rnacentral:rRNA from 1 species
UACGUAGGUGACAAGCGUUGUCCGGAUUUACUGGGCGUAAAGAGCGCGCAGGCGGUCGUUCAAGUCGAGUGUGAAAGCCCCCGGCUCAACUGGGGAGGGUCACGCGAUACUGAUCGACUCGAAGGCAGGAGAGGGUAGUGGAAUUCCCGGUGUAGUGGUGAAAUGCGUAGAUAUCGGGAGGAACACCAGUGGCGAAGGCGACUACCUGGCCUGUUCUUGACGCUGAGGCGCGAAAGCUAGGGUAGCAAAUGGG